UGCGUCUGUAUUUUACAAUGAGGCCCUUGCAGCUGAAACGCUGCCCCCCCUGCUUCCUCUGCUCUCGGGCCAGGGGACUGGGGCCUCCCCGGGAGACACGGGUCAUCCCAGGACGGCCGCUCUCCACCCAGACCUCUCCAUCUUAUUUUGCUAAGCACGGAUCCAUGGGGUGGAGGACCCCCUUGCCCAGGCCCAGGGCCUCCUGCAUCCACGCUCACAGGGGUCCCCCCAGCUGGCGUGUGACAUCCAGGGUCUAGGAGACGCUCACACUGUGGGCCAACCCCUCCCAACAGGAGAGGGUCACAGGGGACCUGCGGAGCUGGGGCUGAG
ensembl:lncRNA